rnacentral:rRNA from 1 species
AACGAACGCUGGCGGCAGGCCUAAUACAUGCAAGUCGAGCGCGCCCUUCGGGGUGAGCGGCGGACGGGUGAGUAACGCGUGGGAAUAUGCCCUUCUCUAAGGAAUAGCCUCUGGAGACGGAGAGUAAUACCUUAUACGCCCUUUGGGGGAAAGAUUUAUCGGAGAAGGAUUAGCCCGCGUUAGAUUAGGUAGUUGGUGGGGUAAUGGCCUACCAAGCCUACGAUCUAUAGCUGGUUUGAGAGGAUGAUCAGCCACACUGGGACUGAGACACGGCCCAGACUCCUACGGGAGGCAGCAGUAGGGAAUCUUAGACAAUGGGGGCAACCCUGAUCUAGCCAUGCCGCGUGUGUGAUGAAGGCCCUAGGGUCGUAAAGCACUUUCGCCAGAGAUGAUAAUGACGGUAUCUGGUAAAGAAACCCCGGCUAACUCCGUGCCAGCAGCCGCGGUAAUACGGAGGGGGUUAGCGUUGUUCAGAAUUACUGGGCGUAAAGCGCACGUAGGCGGAUUAGUAAGUUAGAGGUGAAAUCCCAGGGCUCAACCCUGGAACUGCCUUUAAUACUGCUAGUCUUGAGUUCGAGAGAGGUAAGUGGAAUUCCGAGUGUAGAGGUGAAAUUCAUA